UAUGUGAUCGUCUCUCGCAUAUCAAUAAGCGGAGGAAAAGAAACUAACAAGGAUUCCCCUAGUAACGGCGAGUGAAGCGGGAAGAGCUCAAAUUUGAAAUCUUAAAGGGUUUCCCUUUACGAAUUGUAGUUUAAAGAAGUGUUUUCUGUUGAGGUUUUGGUAAAAGUUCUUUGGAAUAGGACAUCAUAGAGGGUGAGAAUCCCGUAUUUGACCUUUACUUUCAACUUUGUGAUACACUUUCAAAGAGUCGGAUUGUUUGGGAAUGCAGUCCAAAAUGGGUGGUAAAUUUCAUCUAAAGCUAAAUAUUGGCGAGAGACCGAUAGCGAACAAGUACCGUGAGGGAAAGAUGAAAAGAACUUUGAAAAGAGAGUUAAACAGUACGUGAAAUUGUCAAAAGGGAAGCGUUUGACACCAGUGUUGUUUUUCUGAAAAUCAAUUAAAGAACUGUUUAUGCUAAGUCGUUUAGACUUUAUCAGCUAUCUGUUUAGUUUUGAGCUUUUCUUUAAUGCACUUUUCAGUUAACAAGUCAACAUCAAUUUCUUUUGCUGUAAAAAAGCUUGAGGAAGGUGGCUUGAGAUUCGUCUUAAGUGUUUAUAGCCUCUUGCCUAUGCAGUCGGAGAGAUUGAGGUCUGCAGCGUAGAUCCUUCGGGGCUAAAUGCAUUUGUGCUAAGUUAUAGCAUUUUAUAGACAACUUGUUGACUAUGAUUUGUCUUGUAGCUUACUCGCUUAUGUUAUUUUACCUACGCUUAGGAUGUUGAUAUGCAUGACUGAUAU
rnacentral:rRNA from 1 species